rnacentral:rRNA from 1 species
CCAGACUCCUACGGGAGGCAGCAGUAGGGAAUCUUCGGCAAUGGGGGGAACCCUGACCGAGCAACGCCGCGUGAGUGAAGAAGGUUUUCGGAUCGUAAAGCUCUGUUGUUAAGGAAGAACGAGUGUGAGAAUGGAAAGUUCAUACUGUGGCGGUACUUAACCAGAAAGGGACGGCUAACUACGUGCCAGCAGCCGCGGUAAUACGUAGGUCCCGAGCGUUGUCCGGAUUUAUUGGGCGUAAAGCGAGCGCAGGCGGUUAGAUAAGUCUGAAGUUAAAGGCAGUGGCUCAACCAUUGUAGGCUUUGGAAACUGUUUAACUUGAGUGCAGAAGGGGAGAGUGGAAUUCCAUGUGUAGCGGUGAAAUGCGUAGAUAUAUGGAGGAACACCGGUGGCGAAAGCGGCUCUCUGGUCUGUAACUGACGCUGAGGCUCGAAAGCGUGGGGAGCGAACAGGAUUAGAUACCCUGGUAGUCCACGCCGUAAACGAUGAGUGCUAGGUGUUAGGUCCUUUCCGGGACUUAGUGCCGCAGCUAACGCAUUAAGCACUCCGCCUGGGGAGUACGACCGCAAGGUUGAAACUCAAAGGAAUUGACGGGGGCCCGCACAAG